rnacentral:rRNA from 1 species
AACGAACGCCGGCGGCAUGCCUAACACAUGCAAGUCGAACGAAGCCUUCGGGCUUAGUGGCGCACGGGUGCGUAACGCGUGGGAAUCUGCCCCUUGCUUCGGAAUAACAGUUAGAAAUGACUGCUAAUACCGGAUGAAGUCUUCGGACCAAAGAUUUAUCGGCAAGGGAUGAGCCCGCGUAGGAUUAGGUAGUUGGUGGGGUAAAGGCCUACCAAGCCGACGAUCCUUAGCUGGUCUGAGAGGAUGAUCAGCCACACUGGGACUGAGACACGGCCCAGACUCCUACGGGAGGCAGCAGUGGGGAAUAUUGGACAAUGGACGCAAGUCUGAUCCAGCAAUGCCGCGUGAGUGAUGAAGGCCUUAGGGUUGUAAAGCUCUUUUACCAGGGAUGAUAAUGACAGUACCUGGAGAAUAAGCUCCGGCUAACUCCGUG